UCGUAAAUUAAAAUCCAUUAUUUUUUUUAACUACGGCAGUGAUUGAGGGGCGGCUUGUUCCGUGAUAAACAAAUGACUCCAAAUAAGAACCUCAAGGCAGCCAAUCCUAAGAAAAUAAAUGAACCUGAAGCAGUAAGAGUAAGCAUUCAGGUGCUGGUGCUAUGACCUUUUUCCACCUUUUUCGAACCGAAUGAUUCAAUGCUCUCAGAAAGCGGAUCAAAGGCUUCUUAUUCAAUGAUUAAAUGAUCAAUACACCUCCUUCCUAUUUAUUAUCUUCAUCAAAAUCACCCUCAUCCAACUGCCACGUGAAUGAAGAAUCGAGUUGUUGAACCAUUAUUUAUUCACUUUCAACAUAGUCGCAAGGCCUUAUGAUCGUGGUAGUGGUGGUCUAAAACAGCUGUUCUAAAACAACAUAGAACAUUUCUACGAUCUAUGCAUCAAAAUCAUCGUCCUACACCCUUCGUUUAUAGUUUUGCCAACGUUCAUGAAAACUCAUCUCAAUCGGCUCUACGUGUCGCCGCGAUUGCCCAUAAACAUUGUUUCGAGUUUUCCAUGAACCACUGUCGAAUAAAUUAUUUUAGAUUGCUCCACUGUUGCUGAAACUUCUCCAACUUAUACCAUAUGAGAUCGUCAAACAAGUUAUUUCAGGUUAUCGAUUGGGGAUCCACGCUCUGAAUAGGUGAUACUGGGUGGAAGUGAUUUUUCGUAUUUUGUUGAGUUAUGAACAAUUUAGAUUUUUGUAAAUUUGAUUGAUCAAUUGUGUUAUUUUUAUC